CCUGGUGGCUCAGAUGGUAGAGAAUCUGCCUGCAAUGCAGGAGACCCAGGUUCAAUCCCUGGGUCAGGA
rnacentral:tRNA from 1 species